UCUGUGAUGUAAGACAUGCUAAUGCUAAUUAGCUUCACAGCCAGCUGACUUCAUCUGGAAACCUAUGGACGCGUGGUACAGGUGCAAACGCUCAUUAGUGUCUAACGGUGAGCUGCUAAUGCUGAGUCAGCACCUGGAGCCACGUGGACUCUGACCCGCUGGACCUGUACACCCACGGUGAUGUCGCCCGCAGACACCCAACACACGCAUUACAGCAUGAGGGAGGAAUUCCUGGCCGGGAUUGGUCGGCCGGGGUUGACAGGUAUUUCUGCCGGGGGAGGACUCGCCUUUAUGAGCCUCAUGCAGCGUCGCAGGGCUCUGCUGGAAUAAAGCGAUCCGAUCCUCGGUCUGAGGCUGUUUAUGCCACACGGGCCCAAUAAAACCGACCUGAACCAUCUUCAUCCACUGAAACCUGCACUGGAAGCACUUUGCAUUUUUUCGCCAUGACACCUCUGAGUUUCCUGCUGUGAGAACUAACGUCGUUCCUGUUGAGCGUUUCUCUUCUGUGCGUCUGUCGCUGCUGCUGGUGAUGAAUUAUGGAGGAUAAGUGGAGGAAGACGGUGACUGACCACAGGCUCAGCGCCGCAGACCAAAAUGACAGAGGUCAUAAAAGCCUCCGUGUCAGGAAAUAAAAGCUGCU